rnacentral:lncRNA from 1 species
UUUUUUGCUUUUAUUUAUAUUUUAGUGAUUUUCACCUAUUAAUAUUUUUUUCCAUUAAAAUAUUAAUUAUAUUUGUUUGUGUAAUCAAAUUUCUAAAUGUUUUAGCAGUACGAUUUAACAACGAUAGCAUAUUUUAGAUGAUAUUCUACUACUUUUGUCAAAUAGUAUUUUUGUAGCAGUAUUAUUUUUUGGGUAUUAAUUUAACAUUGAUUCAAAU